ensembl:lncRNA
AGAAGUAUAAGGUAACUUACUGGACAAAAUUGAGUUCCGAAAGAAGAGCGUGAUAGAGAUGAGUGGAGGUGGAGCUGAUGUAAGAUCAGGUCUGGAAACAGAGACUAAGAAGUUAUGGACUUGUCAAAAGUCUCACAGCAAUGCAUUUAAGAUGAUGUCCAGUCAGCUUGGGCUGCUAUAACAAAACACUAUAAACAGAGUGGCUUGUCAACAAUAGGCAUUUAUUUCUCACAGUUCUGGAGGCUGGAAGUUCAAGAUCAUGGUGUCAGCAUGGUCGGGUUCUGGUGAGGACCUUCUUCCGGGUUGCGGACAGCUGACUUCUUGUAUCCUCUCAUGGCAAAAAAAGAGCUAGCUAGCUCUCUGGCCUCAUUUAUGAGGGCACCAUUCCCACUCUUGAGGGCUCCACCCUCAUGACCUUAUUACCUCCCAAAGGCCCCACCUCCAAAUACCAUCACAUUGGGAUUAGAAUUGCAACAUAUGAAUUUUGGGGGAACACAGCCUUCAGUCCAUAACAGAUGAAAACCCCAAUUUAUGGUUCUGCACAGGAUUAAGUGUAGCAGAUCUUUCGGAAACACUGUUCAUGGCUCAUUAGCAUCUGUUCUGCUAUCCAGCAUAUGCCGAGCGGCUGCAACAUCUGAUAGAGGCAGGGCUGGCCCAGAAGAAUUUACUGGGAGAGAGUGUCUAAUAACAUGAACAAUUGCAUAUUCCUUUCCAUUCUGAGAAGCCAAGGUAUUUUCGCCCGGUGGAGGAAUGACGUAGUUCCAUCCUAAUCUUGUCUUAUACUUGCAGGUAAGUGAGUCAGUUGAUCAUAAAUUACUUAAGAAACAGACCUGGGUAUGGUCCGAGUUGUAUUCCGUAUCCUGGCUAUGUUUGAAAUGUGUUAAAUUUCAUUUUACUUUCAAUAGUUUGAUUAAUAACAAGUUACUAUGUGAGACAUGCAGCCUUUUUCAAAGUGAUGGCAUUCCUGAGCUGCUUUGAACCCUUCUCCUCCUUUGUAAAGCCUGCAGUCUGCAUUUAACCUUACCAGCUUCUUCCGAAUUUCUCUCUUCUCAAAGUGGCGAAUGACUUAAACCAAUAAUGUAGUUAGAAGAACUCAUAAUUCUUUCUUAAAAAAUGUUCACUUGAAUAGGAACAUUUGUUCUCUUUUUGGAAGUUGUGACAGAAUAUUAAGUUUUCUCAAAUAUUUAGCCUUAAUCAAAUGGGCACCAUAAUUUUGACCAUGCUAUAAUUAUUUAAGUAAAAAUGUUUAGGGAAUUGAAGAAUGACCUUCCUUUCUAACUUAUACCAUCUUAGGGAUGUGCUCUCUAGAAGUCUUGGAGAAUAGUGCCCUAAUGGAUUAGGCAGUUGGUUUUAGUUUGGGGACCAAUGUAAAUCUCUGGAACAUUGUUUUAGUUCUGCUCUUGUAACCGAUGAUUUUGAAUUUCUCUGCAAUAAGAUAUUUUUAUUAUACCUGGCAAGAGUAAACUUAAAAAAAACACCAAGAACCUUAGGGACAUCAUGAACGUUGAAAUGCAACAGUAUGAAAUGGGAAGUUGUAUAUAUGGUUCCCUUCUUCAGCAGAGCAAACCUUUUUUAGUUUCCUCUAGAAAUGAUUCAGUAGACAUAAAAUUGAAAAUAAGUAAGCCGUGCUCAGCAUUUGCAUAUCUUCAAGAAGCUCUCUUCGCCCUUCCUCUUUAUUUAACGAAUUUCUAUACAGGUUUUGUUCAUGAUUUUGUAUUUUUUGUUUUUACUUUUGUUACAUUGAUUAAGAUAAAAGAGUGGAAGUCAAAACAUUUGAUUUGGUUUUGCGUUAAUGAACUGCUUUGUACUAAAACUAAAUGAGGAGUUAAAAAGGGAUUGUAUCCGAGUUACUAAUAACAGAAAAAUAAAAACAGCCUUGGCCAAAAGUUAAUGAAACGAACAAAAAUAAUCAAAGAAUCAUUCUUCACAAAUUCCUUUCUGAGUAGAAAGUCAAGUUGCUGAGAGGCCUGGGUGAUUUAGGGCCCACUUGAGGGUCAUAUGGGAUUGUGCUAAUCUUAGGUCUGUGAUGUUUAAUGUUUUGAGAGUGACUUGGAUGAUGUAGAAGAGAAUGUCAUUAGAACACCAUGUAGACCAUAAAUACUCAAACCUUGAGAGAAUAGUAGAAAAGAGGCAAAGGAAACUUUACUAAAAUACAGAAGCCGUCAAAAGCUGGGUAAGGUCCCCUUGGGCAAAUGCAAAGUGGUAGGAUGUUAAUUCUCUACUGUGAAGCUACUGGAGUAGCGGAAGCCAGAGCCACACAGCGCGAGCUGGGUUUCAGGGGGCGAGGAUGGUGCUGUGGAUCCCUGUGCAGACACACGGGACGUUGCCAGGGCGCCGAGGCUCCACCUGGCUAGCACUCCACCAAGUGCUAGCUUGGGAAGCCGGUUUUCCAGGACCCUCUCCUUUAUAGACUCAGGGUGUGGACUUCGAGCAAUGGACCUUCAUCAGACCUGCAAGAAACAAACAUAUAAACCGGGAAAAGAGUGACUGGGUUGUUUUUUCCUUGUGGUAGGUGGUCAGGGAAUGCAAGCAAGGAGAGUUCAUGUUUUGGUUCAGAUAUUUCAUAGCAUUAGGCCAUAGAAGGUUUGCAGUGGGAUACCCUGGUGUCACACACACGUCCUUCACAGUGCCUGUUCCUCACCGCGCCUUCUCAGUGAAUUGCUGCUCACGUUUUUAC